UCCCCCUUCGGGGGGACGAGGGUGGACAGGUGGUGCAUGGUUGUCGUCAGCUCGUGUCGUGAGAUGUGGGUUAAGUCCCGCAACGAGCGCAACCCUCGACCUUAGUUGCCAGCAUUCAGUUGGGCACUCUAAGGUGACUGCCGGCUAAAAGUCGGAGGAAGGUGGGGGAUGACGUCAAAUCAUCAUGCCCCUUAUGACCUGGGCUACACACGUGCUACAAUGGGCGGUACAAAGGGCCGCGAACCCGCGAGGGGGAGCCAAUCCCAAAAAGCCGCUCUCAGUUCGGAUUGCAGGCUGCAACUCGCCUGCAUGAAGCCGGAAUCGCUAGUAAUCGCGGAUCAGCAUGCCGCGGUGAAUACGUUCCCGGGCCUU
rnacentral:rRNA from 1 species